AAGUCGAGCGAACAGAUAAGGAGCUUGCUCCUUUGACGUUAGCGGCGGACGGGUGAGUAACACGUGGGUAACCUACCUAUAAGACUGGGAUAACUUCGGGAAACCGGAGCUAAUACCGGAUAACAUUUGGAACCGCAUGGUUCUAAAGUGAAAGAUGGUUUUGCUAUCACUUAUAGAUGGACCCGCGCCGUAUUAGCUAGUUGGUAAGGUAACGGCUUACCAAGGCGACGAUACGUAGCCGACCUGAGAGGGUGAUCGGCCACACUGGAACUGAGACACGGUCCAGACUCCUACGGGAGGCAGCAGUAGGGAAUCUUCCGCAAUGGGCGAAAGCCUGACGGAGCAACGCCGCGUGAGUGAUGAAGGGUUUCGGCUCGUAAAACUCUGUUAUUAGGGAAGAACAAACGUGUAAGUAACUGUGCACGUCUUGACGGUACCUAAUCAGAAAGCCACGGCUAACUACGUGCCAGCAGCCGCGGUAAUACGUAGGUGGCAAGCGUUAUCCGGAAUUAUUGGGCGUAAAGCGCGCGUAGGCGGUUUCUUAAGUCUGAUGUGAAAGCCCACGGCUCAACCGUGGAGGGUCAUUGGAAACUGGGAAACUUGAGUGCAGAAGAGGAAAGUGGAAUUCCAUGUGUAGCGGUGAAAUGCGCAGAGAUAUGGAGGAACACCAGUGGCGAAGGCGACUUUCUGGUCUGUAACUGACGCUGAUGUGCGAAAGCGUGGGGAUCAAACAGGAUUAGAUACCCUGGUAGUCCACGCCGUAAACGAUGAGUGCUAAGUGUUAGGGGGUUUCCGCCCCUUAGUGCUGCAGCUAACGCAUUAAGCACUCCGCCUGGGGAGUACGACCGCAAGGUUGAAACUCAAAGGAAUUGACGGGGACCCGCACAAGCGGUGGAGCAUGUGGUUUAAUUCGAAGCAACGCGAAGAACCUUACCAAAUCUUGACAUCCUUUGAAAACUCUAGAGAUAGAGCCUUCCCCUUCGGGGGACAAAGUGACAGGUGGUGCAUGGUUGUCGUCAGCUCGUGUCGUGAGAUGUUGGGUUAAGUCCCGCAACGAGCGCAACCCUUAAGCUUAGUUGCCAUCAUUAAGUUGGGCACUCUAGGUUGACUGCCGGUGACAAACCGGAGGAAGGUGGGGAUGACGUCAAAUCAUCAUGCCCCUUAUGAUUUGGGCUACACACGUGCUACAAUGGACAAUACAAAGGGCAGCUAAACCGCGAGGUCAUGCAAAUCCCAUAAAGUUGUUCUCAGUUCGGAUUGUAGUCUGCAACUCGACUACAUGAAGCUGGAAUCGCUAGUAAUCGUAGAUCAGCAUGCUACGGUGAAUACGUUCCCGGGUCUUGUACACACCGCCCGUCACACCACGAGAGUUUGUAACACCCGAAGCCGGUGGAGUAACCAUUUAUGGAGCUAGCCGUCG
rnacentral:rRNA from 1 species